rnacentral:rRNA from 1 species
UUAAAAAGCUCGUAGUUGGAUUUCUGCGGGGGCGGGGCGGCCGGAUGCUUAUAGCAUCUCGAGCUAGCACUUCCCCCGCAUCCUGCCGCGAACCGUGCUACCAUUAGUUUGGUGGCGCUGGGGAUCGGCUCGUUUACUUUGAGAAAAAUAGAGUGUUCAAAGCAGGCCACACGCCUUGAAUAAGUUAGCAUGGAAUAAUGAUAAAGGACUUCGGUUCUAUUUUGUUGGUGUUCGGGACUGAAGUAAUGAUUGAUAGGGACAGUUGGGGCGGUCAGUAUUCCAAAGCGAGAGGUGAAAUUCUUAGACCUUCGGAGGACUAACAGCUGCGAAAGCGUUCCGCAGGGAUGUUCCCUUUGAUCAAGAACGAAAGUUGGGGGAUCGAAGACGAUCAGAUACCGUCGUAGUCUCAACUAUAAACUAUACCAGCUAGGGAUCGGCCGACAUUUACUUAUAUCGACUCGGUCGGCACCUUAUGAGAAAUCAAAGCAUUUGGGUUCCGGGGGG